GUUCUAUUGAUGUAAUUGGUGCUAUUGGUGCUAAUAACGCCAAGGUCAUGGGUUCAAUCCCCAUACCGGCCA